CUGUGUUUUGUUGCAUGUAUAAUAGUUUAUAUACUAGAUUGGCAAGUUCAUUACAUGAAAGAUUUAAACAGAGUCGACAGAUACAGGUACAGAAAAGCGUUGUUCAUCGGCUUCACGCCAUCUUUCAGUCUAAGGUAGCAGGUAGUCCGAGAGGGAGUGUGACAUGUGAAGUUUCCAUAUGGUUUUGCAUCCAACAUAUCUCAUUGUGUUAAUUUGAAGGAAGUCAAAAUAUAUGGUUUAAAGAGCCAUGAUUGUCAUGUUUUAUUACAAAGACUUCUCCUAAUCGGCAUUCGACCAUAUCCACGUAAGGACAUUUCUACUACUAUAUCAGAGUUGUCAAAUUUCUUCCAUGCUCUAUGUAAAAACACUUUGAGCAUAUCAGAACUAGACAAAAUGCAAGAUGAUAUAGUACUCAUCUUAUGUAAGUUGGAAAAGAUCUUCCCACCAGCUUUUUUUGACGUGAUGGUCCAUUUAGCUGUCCAUUUGUCGUGGGAAGCAAGAAUUGUUGGACCUGUUGGAUAUAGUUGGAUGUAUCCAAUCGAAAGGAGUUUGCGUUACUUGAAGCAAUAUGUUAGAAACAUAGCUCGACCUGAGGGUUCAAUUGCAGAAGCUUAUGCCAUAAAUGAAUCCUUGAACUUUUGUUCUAUGUAUUUACGUGACAUUGAAACAAGGUUUAAUAGAGGAGAUCGAAAUAAUGAUGACAUUGAUGAUGGAGAUCAACAAUUGUGGUCUAUCAAUUUUCUCUCACAUAAGGUGGUUAGGUGGUGCCCUAUUUCGACAACUAACCCCUGAUGAGUUAGAGAAAUCACAUUGGUAUAUUCUAAACAACUAUGAUGAAGUGGAACCUUAUCUCCAGUACAUAUCGCUUUGUUUAAAUUCAUUUUUAAUAUUUUAAAUAUGACUAAAAGGUUACACGAAGUUGCAAAACAUAGGGAGCAUAUGAGGAUCCUUGAGUCGAGUAAUGGAAAUGGUGAUUUGUAUAAAAGACAAUAAUUAGAAUUCCCUACUUGGUUCAAAGCAAAGGAUGUCAUCAAGAAAUUUUGGACCGGGAAAUCGUAGUAGGUCAGCUUCAAAUGUGAACGAAGCAAACAAUUCUAAUCGAAAUAGUAUUGGUGAGCAAGAAGUUGUGUCCAUAGAUUCAGACAUUCAAAGUUCUAGUACAAAAACAAAAGGCCAAGGAGCAACUAGAGGGGUUGGACUUGAGAAAUAUGUCCAAGCAAAUGGUCCCAUUCGAAUUAGAAUUGACUUUGAAGAUAGAAAACCAAUUUGUAAGGACUCCUCCAAGUUAAACUCUCAAAUUGGAAAAGAGGUACGAGCAGUAGUACCACUUAAAUGUGAACAUUGGUCAGAUGUAUUGAAAGAGGUGAAAAAGGAGAUAGUAGAUAGACUUUCGAAUUACUUCAUUACUUAAAUGAACCUUUGGUUCAAGAUUAUCUUGAACAUGAGAUGAGUGUGUUGUAUAGAGACUUUCGUUGUUCACUACACAAAAGCUACAAAAGUAUGACUCUCCAGCUGAAGCACGAAAACACCGUGACAAAUGAGUGGCACGAGAUUCAGAUUGGGCUCGUUUAUAUGAUGGAUGGGUACGAGAAGACUUUAAGAGUAUAUCUGAAGCAAAUACUAAGGCAUGAUCUAAACUUCCAUUCACCCAUCGAGGUGGAACUUCAACAUUUUUACGCCAUAAGCAGAAAAUGAAAGAAGAGGGUAAGGAAGUAAGUGAGAUUAAAUUAUUUCAACUCACGCAUUCCAAUAAGAAGAAGGGGUGGGUGAAUAAGCCAAAAGCGAAAUAUGAUGAGAUGGUGGAAUUAGAAACAACUUCAUCACAAGAAGGGAGUGAACCUCUUCUAGAAAGGGAAAUAUGUGAACGGGUAUUGGGUAAGCGGUCGGGGCAUGUGAAAGGACAAGGUUGGGGACCAAGGCCCAAGAAUGCUAGAAAUGAAACAAUUCAACACAACACAAAAGAAGAAAAUCCACAGAUUGCUCACUUGCAAAGUAUAGUUGAAUCGCAACAAGCUACAAUCGAAACAAUUUUAAAAAGAUUAUCCUGUCAAGAAGCUACCUCCAACAUGGAACGAAGUUCUGAACAAUCAAAUGAUAGUCAACAGAUUUGACGCACAAUGGACUUUUGAUGAAUAUGACAAGAGUUUGGUUCAUAUCUUAUAAUUUUAUGUUAUGCACAUACUUUUGGUCCAAGUAGGAUUUUUUUGUUGUACACAAUACUUUUAGUUUGUAGGUGUAACUUCUUGGUUAUAGCUUGGAACUAACUAGAUGUAACUUAGUGCUUAUAACUUAUGUUGACAUUACU